CCAUUGACUGUGUGGUGGGAUCAUGGGGUCCCUGGUCAUCAUGCACAUCUUCAUGUGGAAUUGGUAGCACGGAAAGGAGUCGCCAAGUAUCUGUUCCCCCUAGAAACGGAGGUACACCCUGUCCUGAUCUCAAACAACGUCGAGGAUGCUUCGGAAACGACGCCAUAUGCAGCACCGCGAAAGAAGUCGCAAAAAUCUUGCCUAAUUCUUUCAAGAGGAACUUCAAGGACCCUUGGAGGAGACCACACAUGCUGAUGAAGGAGGAGAAGGCCAGUUACUGUGUGCAUCUGCAAGUAAAACAGGCUAGCGCGGCAUGUAGACUCAAACUGUGGACCGCUCGACUGAUGAGAGAGACUGCUGUCUGUGUGGAGUGUCAAAGUGAUGCCAUGGCAAAGUCAGAUCGCUGUGGAGGCGAUGGUGUAAGAGGCACCAGGACCUUCUGGUCAGCAGCUUCAGUCGCGGGCUGUCACGGUUCCUGGAUUCGACAGUUUUCUUCUGAGCGCUGCCAGUGUUCUGACAACUCUUUCCUCUUUGUUUGAGGCGGCACGCUACUCUCAGCAUCCUGCCAAGUGCAGGACAGCCCUGCCAGCCAAGCCAGACCCUCCAAUCCAGAUUACUGGAUGGGUAACUCAAGGAUAUUAGCAGCAUCCUGCCACUUUUUUUCUUUCACCUCAUAUUCUGUACUGUAUAAACUCUUAAAGCACACAUAAAUUCUUGCAUUUAACGUCUGAUUUUACAGCCACGUAAUUCUCCUCUAAAGCACAGCAUCUAUUUGCCUUUUUACCUCUGAGUCUUUGCUAUCUACCUCCAUCAAUACAAGUGCAUUUUCUAAUGCAUAAUGUAUAAAUAUAGAAAUAUAUUAUUUUGCUUUAUAUAUUUUCUACUUAUGAUUGGUUUAUGUAAUGUAUAUGUGUCUAUAUAGCUUCAAUAAUUUGUAUCCAACAGUGUAAACAUCAGACAUCUGUCAUUUAUCCCCAAACAGUCCUAAGUCAUCAGUGGUUUUGGAGAUACUAAAACUGAUCAUCAAAGUCAUAUCCAAACUAGGAUCCUUCGCUCAGUAUUUUGAUGUUGUAUCUUUUUUUUAUCCCAAAGGGCAAAGUUGAAUAUCAGGUACUGAUUCUCAGGUGCUUAGAUUUCAAGUCUCCUUCAUGUCUGCCUCUUCUGGUGGUCAGUCACAGGUGUUUUCAGUAACAUGACUCAUAGCGGAGAUCAAUCACAUCUGUUUAGACUUAAUAUUGCUGGAGAGGAAAAAGAGCCAUAUAAGCGAAUUCACUGUGGUUCUGUCUGUCUUGUGUCCAAGACUUAAAAAAUGCUUCAUGAUUACUCGCCCUGCUCACGGGGGAGUUUUAUCAGAAGAGUAUGAUCCAAGAUAAAUAUCGUGAACAGCCAACUCCUAUAUUUUUAAUUAACCGAAUCUCCUCCCAGCGCUCCCUACAGUUCCUUUACUUUUUUCAGUUCUGUUUUUGUUGUCUCUGUUGACUCUGUGUUUUCCCUCAAAUAAAAUACAGACUAACUACAGCUUUACCUUCUUGAGUUAAACGACACAGCAUAAAUUCCUGCAUCUCUUUUGCUGUUGGGUUAAGAAGAAGGCAGGUGCAGUCAUGUUAUGGAAACCUGUUACUUUCUCUUUACAUCCCCCAUGUCUGUGUUUGUGUGUUUAUUUAUUAUAAACCAUGUGGUAAUUUUAUAAGUGCAGCACAGCAUUUUCUGUACACUGUCCAUUAGUGAAAUAAAGAAAACUAUA